UACGGAGGGAGCUAGCGUUGUUCGGAAUUACUGGGCGUAAAGCGUACGUAGGCGGUUACUCAAGUCAGAGGUGAAAGCCCAGGGCUCAACCCCGGAACUGCCUUUGAAACUAGGUAGCUAGAAUCUUGGAGAGGUCAGUGGAAUUCCGAGUGUAGAGGUGAAAUUCGUAGAUAUUCGGAAGAACACCAGUGGCGAAGGCGACUGACUGGACAAGUAUUGACGCUGAGGUACGAAAGCGUGGGGAGCAAACAGG
rnacentral:rRNA from 1 species